rnacentral:lncRNA from 1 species
CUCCUCAAAAGGUCCCAGCCUCACCAGAGCUUCCCUUCCUGCACCGGCCCCAGCUCUCCACGCCUCCCAGAGACCAGGGGGCCUCCACCCUUGCUCCUCUGGGACGGCGCUUCCUCCCCCUCAUCUCCAGGUCGGGGCUGGGGUCUUCAGGCUCAGGUUGAAGAUGCUGUUGGGCCCUUUGCCUGUACAGGGAUGGCGCCCGACCCAGGAAAAGCCUAACGUUGUCUGUCAUUUGGAUGCGUCUCUUGGCAGUGACUGGGGGGAAAUCCUCACUGCAGCCCGCGUCCCUUGCAUGAUUGUUGUAAGAAAGCCCCAGCUCAGCUGCGUGGAGACAGGGUCCUCUUGGCUGCAAAUUCUAAAAUCAUUUUUCCUAUGAAGAGAGCAGUGCUAAUUUUUUCCAAAAUAUAUCAGAUUAUGAUCGACUUGACUGAAGUGUGAAAUGAAAGUGGGUUGGAGUGUUCCUGCCAAAGACAAGCACGGCUGCCUUGCCGUCGCUCGUGCCGUGCUCUCUACCCUCCACAGUCACGGUGCCGGACCCUCUCCCGAUAACUGGACACGUGUCUCCCACAGGACACGCACUGGCACUAAAUCCACACUGCCCAUCUCGGAGACAGGCGGAGGAACUCCCGAGCUGAGAUGCGGAAAGCACCAGGCCGUAGGGACCUCACCGCAGCGGGCCGCAGCUCAGGACUCGGAGCAGGUGGGCCACACCAUGCCGCAUGUUUCCAGCUGCCACCGCAGUGGUUGGACAGGAUCUGGGUGUCGGAGCAGCUCUGCUGGGGCUCCCUGCAUAUUUCUGUUUACUCCGUGUUUCCUAGUCCGUUCUGCACCUUCCUCCGGGAGGUUUUAUUUACAAGCUAAUGACAGUGAGCCAGAAUGUGAGCCUGCUUAGUGAGAGGAAUGAAGCUGUUCAUCUGUGGUCGCAGGGACCUGUGUGCUCAGCACGGCUUCUUCCUGAAGGACCCUGCCUGCGGAUUGCAGAUCCCACUCUGUGAGUAGGAACCUUUGCCACGUGGAUCCUCUGUGGCCUCCUGCAAACAAGCAUUUGUCCGGAAGCCAGAAACUUCCCUCCAGCAUGACAAGCAAGAAGGAUGGCUCAUCUCGCCAGCGGUCCUUUGUGAAAAGAGCUCCUGUCCAGGCCCUUCUGUCUUGUAUCAAGUGUGUGCUGUUACUGGAGCAGUCAGAAUUCAGACGUUAUUAAUGUUUGUUCUGCAUUUUUGCAGGAGAGUGCUGGGAUGGAAGGCCGGGAUACUCACAGGCUGCCGAGAGCCCUCUGAGGGCAAAGUGGCAGGACACUGCAGAACAGCUUCAUGUUCCCAAAAUCACCGUACGACUCUUUUCCAAACACAGGCAAAUCCGAAAUCAGCAGGACGACUGUUUUCCCAACACGGGUAAAUCUAGUACCAUGUCGUAGUUACUCUCAGGCACUGCAUUUGUCUGGCCUUUUCUUGUAAACAUUGCCUGAUUUGUUCCUUCUGGGGCUUUGCCAUUAAAAUGUAUUUACAGAUUACACAUCUUUAUUUUGUGAACCCUGGAAACACCACUCUUGCAAUCCUCCUGUCUCCACCUUCUGGCAUCUCUGAUGCCGUGCUCGUCUGCACUCUGCCCCGGCGGUCCCUCCAGCACUGGUUUUUCCACACCCCCUGCCCAUCACCAGGUGUCCACAGGGCCUACAUCUGGCUUCCCUCUUCUCCUGGGAAGAGCACUCCUGGCUUCCUGCAGGGCCGGUGGGAGGAGGAAAGUGAUUCUGAGGGAGAGGCUGGAGCCUUAAGGACCAACAAGGCAAAGUGACUUGUCUCAUCCUCCAGAGAUUCACCAACACAUGAGCCUCAGACCCCAGGCUUCUGCCUCCAGCAGCCGCCCUGCCGCACACUGCUCUUACUCCUCCUUAUACCCUCACUCACGGGGAACACAGCCCAGUGAUCCCGGAGGAAACUCACUCCCUCCCUGACUCAACAAGGCAGUCUCGGGGGCACCGUUAGCCACGCGACCCUGUAAAGCUGCCGUCCUCAUUUCACAUGUGAAGCAGCUGAAUUCCAGAGUGCUGGGUCCCAGCCCAGGCAGCCCUCAGCCUCACGCAAGGCAAUAGUUAGGAGUCCUUCGGCAUUGAAAGCAAACUCAGACACAUCUGACCUGGAGUUCUACCUGCACUAAGAGAAGAGAGUGGUAACUAAUUCAUGGAUAAAACAGACCAUCGAGGCAGCACUGAAUGAUCUCACCCACGAAUGACAACAGUGGCACAGGAGGGCUAUGAACAUUUUGCUUCAGGAUGUUUUAUUUCGCUCUACUGUUAUGUAGAGAAAGCAUGGUUUGCUUUUUAUAACUUUUGUGACCCAAAAAUACCAGACUGUUGUUUUCCCUAGGUGCCAGGCCAUCCUGUUCUGUGUGUUCC